UGUAGUGUGGCCGAGUGGUCUAAGGUGCUAGAUUUAUGCUGCAAUCUCAAAAGAGGCAUGGGUCCCACCACUGCCAAUCUUGACCUGAAUAAUAUUCUUUUUAAGAAAGUUGCCAAAAUUGAAAGAGGCCUGGGUUCAAUUCCCACCACUGCCA